rnacentral:rRNA from 1 species
GAUGAACGCUGGCGGCGUGCCUAAUACAUGCAAGUCGAGCGAACAGACGAGGAGCUUGCUCCUCUGACGUUAGCGGCGGACGGGUGAGUAACGCGUGGAUAACCUACCUAUAAGACUGGGAUAACUUCGGGAAACCGGAGCUAAUACCGGAUAAUAUUUUGAACCGCAUGGUUCAAUAGUGAAAGACGGUUUUGCUGUCACUUAUAGAUGGAUCCGCGCCGCAUUAGCUAGUUGGUAAGGUAACGGCUUACCAAGGCAACGAUGCGUAGCCGACCUGAGAGGGUGAUCGGCCACACUGGAACUGAGACACGGUCCAGACUCCUACGGGAGGCAGCAGUAGGGAAUCUUCCGCAAUGGGCGAAAGCUUGACGGAGCAACGCCGCGUGAGUGAUGAAGGUCUUCGGAUCGUAAAACUCUGUUAUUAGGGAAGAACAAAUGUGUAAGUAACUAUGCACGUCUUGACGGUACCUAAUCAGAAAGCCACGGCUAACUACGUG